UGUAGCUGCAGGUAAUUGGAGCUGCUGGGGCACUGCAACCCUGAAAACUUGAAACAAUGCUCUCUUUCUGAGGAGGAUGGUCUUUGGAUUAUCAAACCUGCCUGGCGAUGUGAGUUAUAGGUCUUCCUGCAGGCUAUUUGGAGUCCUUGCAGCUGUGAGGGAAUUGCAUGGCAGAUCCAGGCUGGAUAUCACUUAGCUGCACAUCCCAUAGAGGAAUGGGACCUUCCUGGACCCCCUGCCCCCAGUGACACAAGGAUGUCCAGGACUUUAAUUUCUACCAAAAUGUGUGAUGACAAUAAUGAAAAACUGAAGCUGUCCUAACACUGUAGCAAUCAGGUAUUGAAGCUUUGACACCAGCGUUAACUGUUAGGCACAGACCAUUUUGAUAGCAGUUAUCACAUGGGUAAAACCAUUGCCUCCCUCCCUCUCACCUGCUUCAUCCCUUUAACAAAAGGUGUCUAUAUGUAUCAAAGUUUGUGCUGAGAAAGUCCUGCUUAGUCAUGAUGUGAGUAAUGACUUCCAGAUCUGAGAGUGGAGGGACUCUUAUGCUUGGAACAAGGGCUUGCCUUACUGGCAUUUCUCUUCAGAAUAUGUAGCAGAUCUUUGAUAGAUAGAUCUGUGAUAGAAUGUAAUUAAAUUUAUCAGGUUCCAAAAUUCAGAGAAAAUCUAAUACUUCCACGAUUUUCCGUAGCUCCACAAGAAUGUUUGACAGAAUUUGCAAUGCUUAUUAUAGCAGUGGAUAUCAGUCUGUGGAGAGCAUUUUGAAGAGCAGAGUGCUACCAUAGGUAACAGCAAGGUGAGCUUGCUACCAGAGCACUGGGACAGUGCAGAGAGUGUUACUCUUUCUAAAACACUCCACAGGCCAACAGAACACAGCCAAGCAGACAAAUAGUUGUGUUUCUCUCCUUUGUAUUAAGCUGUGUAGUAUCCCUCAGAAGGCCCUGCAGCAAAGAAGGAUUGAUGCAUGUAACAGUGAAUUUCAUCCUGCUCCUCGAGGACGGGAGGCAAUUUCUGUGCCUUUCCUCUUCAUUUUAUGUGGUUCACCAUGCCCUUUGCUUCAUGCUUUUCAAGUCCUUGAGCAUAAUCAAAAUAGUACAUGCUGUCUGUAACCUCAAAGUAAGGCAGAUAAUUUAGAAAAUGUUUCCACAUAUCCUUUCUUCCCUGAUUUUUCAUUUGACCUCAGAUUAUUUUGGUUUCUUUUUGGCAUCUAAUAUCAAAGACUACAGCUGAAGUCAGCCCUACAAAAGAUAUGUGAAGAGCAACAUCACAUUUUCAGACUGAGAAGGGUUCUUGUCUGGAUGGUAUAAUUUUGAAGAAGUCUCAUUUGCCUGCAAUAAAAUAUUAAUUCAAUGCUUUCCAUUUGCUGUUCUUAGUUCCUUGUGUGCAGCAUUCUUUCAUACAAUUCUGGUAUGUUCUAAAACUGCAACCAACCUAAGAGGAAAAUCAUGCCUCUAAAAACUUUCUGCUAAUGGAAUAUUAAAAUUACAAGUCAGUAGUGUUAAAACCACUGAGCAACAGCACUUUCCUGUUUACUAGAGAACCUACUAUUUUCAAAUGGCUUUAUCUUCCUCUUAGAUCUUCCAUCUUAGACUACUGGCCUGUGAAAAAAAGGAAUAAAUAAAUAGAAUUAUGCGGUAUGGCCAAAAUGAGAAUCACAUUAGUUGCCCCUGGGAAGACUGAACAACAUUUCAAAAGUACAGUGCUCAGUACCUCAUUGUGAUUUUCAGCUGAGACCACUGGUGCUUAAAGGAUACCUAUCUAGGUCACAGUAUUUUUUUUAUCCAUAGCAAUUUUUUUAUGCCCAAACAAAUAAGGUGAGGCUUAAA